CCGCGGCCCCGCCUCCCCCCAGCGCUGACCUCAGCGCCGGGACCCCUGGCCACCCCCGACAGGCCAUCGCCGAGGGGCCGACCGACGGACUGGGACGUCGGCUGGAUGGACGGCGUCACCGACGCGGAUGGAAGGACUGAUGGACCCCAAGAAGAAACAGUCGGGGGGCCAGGGGCCCAGUGAAGGAGGCUGAGCUCCUCCCAGAUCCUCAGAGCCUCCACUCUACCGAUCUGGACUCCUGGAUUCUGCUCCUGCCCUGGGCAUCUCCUUCAGGAAGACGUCCCGCAACCUUACACAACCGAAUUGAUCCCAUGCAAUCUUGGCACCGUCCUCCCUUCACAGGGGCCUUGCACUCAAUGGUAGCAAGGUGCUGGGUUCUGGGGAAGGUGCCUAUACUCUGAAUCUCCUUAUCUAAGCCACAUUUGAUUUUGGCUGACACUGUAUGCUUGGAAAUGUUACGACAGGUCCUCUGAGAUGCAACCAGAUUAUUUAAGAAAGCAGCAAACAUUCCCAAUGUGAAAAUGAAAGGGAUUUCUUUUAAAAUAUAGUCGUCAUUCUUAAGUCACAGUGCAGCUGGGGUCCCCAUUUUGGUUGAUGUCAUGGCUUCUCACUCUGACAACGCUGGGAGGCCUAUUUGAGGGGAAACGUUGGUCUGAGAAAUCCCUGUUUCCCUUCCCCACUGUCCUUGUCCUCUCUGACUAGGGGUGUGCCUGUGGCCCCUCAGAAAGAUGAUCAGCUGCUGGCUCCACCGGGAGGGGCACCUCUUUCUCAGGGAGAGGUGGUAGCAACAUAAAAAUUCAAAGCAAAGUUUUAAAUGAAAACAGGGAGCAUAUUUAUUCAAAUAUCCUGAUAAUAAAGGGAAAGGGGGGGCACAUUUACUCACACACAACCCAGAACUUGUAUUCUGCAAAAUGAAUGUCUAUUGACUCAGUCCCCUGAUUUAUACAUUCAGGAAGAAUAAAUUUCAAUAAUGUGAGACAAA